CGCGGGGUGGAGCAGUUUGGUAGCUCGUCGGGCUCAUAACCCGAAGGUCGUAGGUUCAAAUCCUACCCCCGCCACCA
rnacentral:tRNA from 1 species